rnacentral:snoRNA from 1 species
GUGCCUGUCGCCAAUGAUGGAUUUUUGUUAAGAUGAAACAAAAUGAUUUUUACCUUAACAUUUCGUCACUACCACUGAGGCGACGUGUCU